CCUACGGGGGGCAGCAGUGGGGAAUAUUGGUCAAUGGACGAGAGUCUGAACCAGCCAAGUAGCGUGAAGGAUGACUGCCCUAUGGUUUGUAAACUUCUUUUAUAUGGGAAUAAAAUGUUCCACGUGUGGGAUUUUGUAUGUACCAUAUGAAUAAGGAUCGGCUAACUCCGUGCCAGCAGCCGCGGUAAUACGGAGGAUCCGAGCGUUAUCCGGAUUUAUUGGGUUUAAAGGGAGCGUAGGUGGAUUGUUAAGUCAGUUGUGAAAGUUUGCGGCUCAACCGUAAAAUUGCAGUUGAAACUGGCAGUCUUGAGUACAGUAGAGGUGGGCGGAAUUCGUGGUGUAGCGGUGAAAUGCUUAGAUAUCACGAAGAACUCCGAUUGCGAAGGCAGUUCACUGGACUGCAACUGACACUGAGGCUCGAAAGUGUGGGUAUCAAACAGGAUUAGAUACCCUUGUAGUC
rnacentral:rRNA from 1 species